GUUUCAAGCUAGCCAAAAUUACUUGGCUAAGUUUCAGAGAGGCUGCCUAUAUGUGGAUGGAGUUAAAUCUCAGCCACACGUGAGAACGGAAGCAGCGCAAAGCUUGGAAUCUCAGCGGGCCACUCCUCUCCUGCAUUAGGUCUGAUCCGGAGACAGUGCUUGGCCAUCCAGCCAGGAGGGCGAGUAAGCACUGCUUCUGGGACACUCUUUCGUGCAAGGACACGGCCUAGUUUAGAGCGGCUGGAAAGUACAACACCACUGGAAAAGGAUUUGUGCUGCUUCAUUUUGCAGUGGAAGGCAAGUGGCUUCGUGCAGAAAACGCACAACGCACAGGGCCUCGCCUUGCAGCAACGCCCUCCCCCGCGGCUCCGCUGACAGCCCACGCGCGAGCAGUGCCUUCCUCUCUUCGCG
rnacentral:lncRNA from 1 species